rnacentral:rRNA from 1 species
GCCUACGGGGGGCAGCAGUAGGGAAUCUUCCACAAUGGGCGAAAGCCUGAUGGAGCAACGCCGCGUGGGUGAAGAAGGUCUUCGGAUCGUAAAACCCUGUUGUUAGAGAAGAAAGUGCGUGAGAGUAGCUGUUCACAUUUCGACGGUAUCUAACCAGAAAGCCACGGCUAACUACGUGCCAGCAGCCGCGGUAAUACGUAGGUGGCAGGCGUUAUCCGGAUUUAUUGGGCGUAAAGGGAACGCAGGCGGUCUUUUAAGUCUGAUGUGAAAGCCUUCGGCUUAACCGGAGUAGUGCAUUGGAAACU